rnacentral:rRNA from 1 species
GUCCACGCUGUAAACGAUGUCAACUAGCUGUUGGUUAUAUGAAAUAAUUAGUAGCGCAGCAAACGCGAUAAGUUGACCGCCUGGGGAGUACGGUCGCAAGAUUAAAACUCAAAGGAAUUGACGGGGGCCCGCACAAGCGGUGGAGCAUGUGGUUUAAUUCGAUGCAACGCGAAGAACCUUACCUACCCUUGACAUACAGAGGAUUUUGCAGAGAUGCGAAAGUGCCUUCGGGAACUCUGAUACAGGUGCUGCAUGGCUGUCGU